rnacentral:sRNA from 1 species
CUGACAGCCUUGAAGACUCAAGCCCUCAAUUUAUUUAUCCGCAGAACAAACAAAGUGGGAAGAGUGGCAAAGCCCUGCUUCCUGCAUUGCAUUUCCUCUGCCUGCCACACCCCUGACCUGGGGAGACCUUCUCUGAACCAGCGAGAUGGUUGUGCAAUCUUCAGACUCAUUCAAACCUGAUUUCUU